CGCCUUGUUUUAUAAAAACAUGUUUUUUUGCAUUAUAAUUUAAAAUUUGACCUGCCCACUGAUUCAAAUGGUUGAAGGGCCGCGGUAUUUUGACCGUGCAAAGGUAGCAUAAUCAUUAGUCCUUUAAUUGUGGACUGGAAUGAAUGGUUUGACGAAGUAUUAACUGUCUCAUAUUAAUAAUUUGAAUUUAACUUUUAAGUUAAAAGGCUUAAAUAGUUUUAUAGGACGAGAAGACCCUAUAGAUCUUAAUAAUUAUUUAUUUAAUAUAUUUUUGGAUAAUUAUUUUAAUUAAUUAUUUAAUUAUUUUAUUGGGGUGAUAUAAAGAAUAAUAAAACUCUUUAUUUUUUAAUACAUUUAUUUAUGAAUAAUUGAUCCAUUAUUAGUGAUUAUAAGAUUAAGUUACCUUAGGGAUAACAGCGUUAUUUUUUUUGAGAGUUCUUAUCAACAAAAAAGAUUGCGACCUCGAUGUUGGAUUAAGGUAAAUAUUGGGUGUAGAAGUUCAAUGAUGUGGUCUGUUCGACCAUUAAAUCCUUACGUGAUCUGAUUUCAGACCGGA
rnacentral:rRNA from 1 species